GUGUCAGCCGCCGCGGUAAUACGGAAGGUGCAAGCGUUAUCCGGAAUCACUGGGUUUAAAGGGUGCGUAGGCGGCUGGAUAAGUCAGAGGUGAAAGUCUGCGGCUUAACCGUAGAAUUGCCUUUGAUACUGUUCAGCUUGAGUCAGGUUGAGGUCGGCGGAAUGUGGCAUGUAACGGUGAAAUGUGUAGAUAUGCCAUAGAACACCGAUUGCGAAGGCAGCUGACUGGACCUUGACUGACGCUGAGGCACGAAAGCGUGGGGAGCGAACAGGAUUAGAUACCCUGGUAGUCCACGCCCUAAACGAUGCUCACUCGAUAUCCGGCCCUUGCGGCUGGGUGUCCAAGGGAAACCGUUAAGUGAGCCACCUGGGGAGUACGGCCGCAAGGUUGAAACUUAAAUGAAUUGACGGGG
rnacentral:rRNA from 1 species